AUUAUUUUCCAUUAAAGGAUACAAACGCUGUAGAAGAAUUUGAAAAACUGUUAAAGAAUAAAACGAUUACUGUACCUCAAGUAGCACAAACGUUAUUAAAACGUGGUGGCAAAAAAUUGGAAGUAUUUAUAAAUCAUAUAAUGCAAGAUCUUUUUGUGGAUGAAGUAGCUGUCAAAUAUAGUUAUAAAGGACAAGGAGAAAGAAAAAAAAACCAUUUAAAGAUCUUCUACUUAAGGAAUGUGUAUUUAAAGCUGCACAUCUAUUUUCACCAAAUGCUACUAAUGAAGGCAUUAAAAAGCAGAUCAGUACUUGGCUGGCAGGUGCGACUUUACGACUGAAACGGAAAACCAUAAAAAUGGAAGACAAGGAAAACAAAACGGACCAAAACUAUACAUCUUGAAUCCGCGGAACGAUUUCGGGAGUCACUUCUUUUUUUUUACAUAUGAUAUAUAGGCUGCGUUCGGGAUGACACUAUUUAGCGCUAUGAGCGUACUCUGUCCUUGUUCAACUUUUACAAGUAACAAGGACAGAGCACGCUCAUAGCGCUGAAUAGCAUCUCCAUAAUAAUGUGAGUUUUUUUCUAAGGUAUAUAUUUUUCCACACAUGUGCUAUAUAAUAAUAUAAGUUUAUCUUUCUACGGUA